UACGUAGGCAGCGAGCGUUGUUCGGAGUUACUGGGCGUAAAGGGUGCGUAGGUGGCGCCGUAAGUCGGGUGUGAAAUUUCGGAGCUUAACUCCGAAACUGCAUUCGAUACUGCGGUGCUUGAGGACUGGAGAGGAGACUGGAAUUCAUGGUGUAGCAGUGAAAUGCGUAGAGAUCAUGAGGAAGACCAGUGGCGAAGGCGGGUCUCUGGACAGUUCCUGACACUGAGGCACGAAGGCCAGGGGAGCAAACGGG
rnacentral:rRNA from 1 species